UCUAAGUUUACACCUAAAAAUUUAGUCAUGCCAUGGAAAUGUAUACUGCAUUUUGCAACAACUUAGUUUCUUAAAAAAAUGCACAACCUGAUUUUGGCUGGCUUGGUGUUGGUUUUACAUGCAUUAGGAAGAUUUAAGUUUACUGCUUUAAAUUUACUUGGCGUUGAAACUUGUACCUUCUUGGGAUGCUAGUUAAAUGGACCCUUUUUCUUGGUCUUUGUAACAAAUCACAUGCUAAUUCUGACUUAGUGCAUCACUGUGCAUCAUAAGAUCCAACAAGUAUCAUGUGCUGUCAGCAAUGGCACGUGAUUUUUUAGCAAUUCCACUUAGCACUGUUUCGUCUGAAUCUGCAUUCAGCUUGAGCGGUUGGAUUCUUAGUGACAAUCGAAGCUCAAUGACACCAGAAACUCUUCAAGCUUUGGUCUGUUGCAAAGAUUGGUUGUACACAUAUCCCACCAAUGAAGUGAGUUAGGGAGUUCUGAGAAGCUUAUCCUUUGCACGAGCUGGCCUGUGAACUUUGUGGUUUCGUACCCUCGAUUUUGACUCAUAGAUCAGAGAAAGAAUGGAAGAGUUACAAGAUUGCAACUCGAAAAGCCUGGUUGCCCUUCCAGGCUCUUUGGUUCUGCAUCUCUUUAGGCUGUUUGGUCAGCAGGAUCAGAGUUUAUGGCAGAAGUACAUCUAAAUGAGCAGAAACCUAUUCUGAAGGCUCAGUCGGGAGGUGAUUCAAGUGGCAACAGAUCGAAUGAUUGCUAUUUUCCAGGCCUUCAUGAUGACCUGUCUCAAGACUGCCUUGCUUGGUCAAGCAUAUCAGACUACCCUUCCCUUUCUUGUCUGAAUAAAAGAUUCAAUUUGUUAAUUAACAGUGGAUAUCUGUACAAAUUGCGAAGGAAAUAUGGCAUUGUUGAGCUUUGGGUGUA